rnacentral:tRNA from 1 species
AAGAUUUUAAGUUAAUUAAACUAAUAACCUUCAAAGUUUUAAAUAAAAAUUUGUUUUUAAAUCUUA